rnacentral:rRNA from 1 species
GAUGAACGCUGGCGGCGCGCUUAACACAUGCAAGUCGAACGGUGAAGCCAAGCUUGCUUGGUGGAUCAGUGGCGAACGGGUGAGUAACACGUGAGCAACCUGCCCUGGACUCUGGGAUAAGCGCUGGAAACGGCGUCUAAUACUGGAUAUGAGACGUGAUCGCAUGGUCAACGUUUGGAAAGAUUUUUCGGUCUGGGAUGGGCUCGCGGCCUAUCAGCUUGUUGGUGAGGUAAUGGCUCACCAAGGCGUCGACGGGUAGCCGGCCUGAGAGGGUGACCGGCCACACUGGGACUGAGACACGGCCCAGACUCCUACGGGAGGCAGCAGUGGGGAAUAUUGCACAAUGGGCGGAAGCCUGAUGCAGCAACGCCGCGUGAGGGAUGACGGCCUUCGGGUUGUAAACCUCUUUUAGCAGGGAAGAAGCGAAAGUGACGGUACCUGCAGAAAAAGCGCCGGCUAACUACGUGCCAGCAGCCGCGGUAAUACGUAGGGCGCAAGCGUUAUCCGGAAUUAUUGGGCGUAAAGAGCUCGUAGGCGGUUUGUCGCGUCUGCUGUGAAAUCCCGAGGCUCAACCUCGGGCCUGCAGUGGGUACGGGCAGACUAGAGUGCGGUAGGGGAGAUUGGAAUUCCUGGUGUAGCGGUGGAAUGCGCAGAUAUCAGGAGGAACACCGAUGGCGAAGGCAGAUCUCUGGGCCGUAACUGACGCUGAGGAGCGAAAGGGUGGGGAGCAAACAGGCUUAGAUACCCUGGUAGUCCACCCCGUAAACGUUGGGAACUAGUUGUGGGGACCAUUCCACGGUUUCCGUGACGCAGCUAACGCAUUAAGUUCCCCGCCUGGGGAGUACGGCCGCAAGGCUAAAACUCAAAGGAAUUGACGGGGACCCGCACAAGCGGCGGAGCAUGCGGAUUAAUUCGAUGCAACGCGAAGAACCUUACCAAGGCUUGACAUACACCAGAACGGGCCAGAAAUGGUCAACUCUUUGGACACUGGUGAACAGGUGGUGCAUGGUUGUCGUCAGCUCGUGUCGUGAGAUGUUGGGUUAAGUCCCGCAACGAGCGCAACCCUCGUUCUAUGUUGCCAGCACGUAAUGGUGGGAACU